rnacentral:rRNA from 1 species
GACGAACGCUGGCGGCGUGCUUAACACAUGCAAGUCGAACGGUAAGGCCCUUCGGGGUACACGAGUGGCGAACGGGUGAGUAACACGUGGUUGAUCUGCCCUGCACUUCGGGAUAAGCCUGGGAAACUGGGUCUAAUACCGGAUAGGACCACUGCCUGCAUGGGUGGUGGUGGAAAGUUUUUGCGGUGUGGGAUGGGCCCGCGGCCUAUCAGCUUGUUGGUGGGGUGAUGGCCUACCAAGGCGACGACGGGUAGCCGGCCUGAGAGGGUGACCGGCCACACUGGGAAUGAGAUACGGCCCAGACUCCUACGGGAGGCAGCAGUGGGGAAUAUUGCACAAUGGGCGCAAGCCUGAUGCAGCGACGCCGCGUGAGGGAUGACGGCCUUCGGGUUGUAAACCUCUUUCAGCACCGACGAAGCGCAAGUGACGGUAGGUGCAGAAGAAGGACCGGCCAACUACGUGCCAGCCGCCGCCGUAA